AAUGCCACUGCGGGAGAGGCCAGGUGAAAAGAUCCUGGCGCCGAAGGAGCAACCGCCCCGGAAACUCUCAGGCAAAAGGACCGCAGGGGCUUC
rnacentral:ncRNA from 2 species